rnacentral:sRNA from 1 species
UGAAAAAUCUCUGUUAGUCGCUGGCUCUUACAGGAUGUAUUCAGACGCCACUGUAAUAAUUAAUAUGCAGCUAGCCUCUCAAGCAACCCAAAGGUUAACACAACUAGCAAACAGAGCUAUGAAGAGCAAGAUACAGACGGUCGCCUUCCCUCUCCUUCCUUCUCUCUCCAGGUGCUGGGGCAAAGCCUUGCCCUUGGUCCCAGGCUCUUGGACACUAAGCUACACCCCUUUCGUCCCAGGCUCUCUGACACUGAGCUACAUCCCAGCUGGAGGAGCUUUGUGACAGUAACUUUCAUUCAUUAGAGCCAUCUGAUUGGAAAGAGGGCCACAGGAGAUCUUGGAGUCUGUGUGCUUUCUUUAAUUUCUCUGCUUAGAAGACCCUGACUUUGACACCCUGCAGGCAAGUGUUUCUUCCCGGUUCCCUAACCCUUUACUUAAUUUUAAUUGGAUACUUUUCUCCCAUGAAUCAAAAGUAUCACAUGCUAAAUAAUGAAAACAUGACAUGGUCUUUGAUUUAAAAAAAAAAAAACUAAUUCACCACAGUGACUUUCCUAAUUAUCACGUAAGUCCAGCUUUUCAUUGUUGUCUUCUUAUGGCCCUUUGGCUU